rnacentral:lncRNA from 1 species
AAAAAAAAAAAAAAAAAAAAGAUCAAGUGCUUUGGAUAGUAAAUCAGAACCACGAAAAGUGGUUAAUUCCUUUGUAUGUUUUCUCCCAGUUGCCUAAGAGACCUCCUCAGAAUAUCUCCUGGUCCCUGACUGCAGGGAGGCACCAUAGCAAGAAGGAAAUUAUUGAUUUAUGUCCCCAACAUCAGAAACGACUGGGAAGCUGCGCAGGUCUCCUCUGACCUUUCUCUUUCAGGUGUGGAGCAGAGGAUCAUGUGGAAGCAGUGAAAAAGCUCCAGAACUCCACCAAGAUCCUGCAGAAGAAUAACCUGAAUCUGCUCAGAGACCUGGCUGUGCACAUUGCCCAUAGCCUCAGGAACAGUCCAGACUGGGGAGGUGUGGUCAUAUUACACAGGUGAGAAAUUAGGAGCUGGACACAAGG